UUANCAUGCAAGUCGCACGAAACCUUUCGGGGUUAGUGGCGGACGGGUGUAGUAACGCGUAGGAACCUAUCUGGAGGUGGGGGAUAACAUCGGGAAACUGGUGCUAAUACCGCAUGAUGCCUGAGGGCCAAAGGAGAGAUCCGCCAUUGGAGGGGCCUGCGUUCGAUUAGCUAGUUGGUUGGGUAAAGGCUGACCAAGGCGAUGAUCGAUAGCUGGUUUGAGAGGAUGAUCAGCCACACUGGGACUGAGACACGGCCCAGACUCCUACGGG
rnacentral:rRNA from 2 species